AUUGAACGCUGGCGGAAUGCUUUACACAUGCAAGUCGAACGGCAGCACGGGGCAACCUGGUGGCGAGUGGCGAACGGGUGAGUAAUACAUCGGAACGUGCCCAAUCGUGGGGGAUAACGUAGCGAAAGCUACGCUAAUACCGCAUACGAUCUACGGAUGAAAGCGGGGGAUCGCAAGACCUCGCGCGAAUGGAGCGGCCGAUGGCAGAUUAGGUAGUUGGUGGGGUAAAGGCUCACCAAGCCUGCGAUCUGUAGCUGGUCUGAGAGGACGACCAGCCACACUGGAACUGAGACACGGUCCAGACUCCUACGGGAGGCAGCAGUGGGGAAUUUUGGACAAUGGGCGCAAGCCUGAUCCAGCCAUUCCGCGUGCAGGAUGAAGGCCCUCGGGUUGUAAACUGCUUUUGUACGGAACGAAAAGGCUUUCUCUAAUACAGGGGGGCUCAUGACGGUACCGUAAGAAUAAGCACCGGCUAACUACGUGCCAGCAGCCGC
rnacentral:rRNA from 1 species